rnacentral:sRNA from 1 species
CUCCAAAGCCAACAAACCAAACAACAGCCUCCAAAGUCACCCGACCAACCACCACCAACGUUCAAAAUGUCUCCUUGCUCCUGCAACUGCUGCGCCGGCGACUGCAACUCCUGCUCUUGCGGUGACUGCAGCGUAAGUCAUC